rnacentral:rRNA from 1 species
ACAUGCAGAGAACGUUUCCAGAGAGUGGAUUGGUGCCUUCGGGAACUCCGACACAGGUGCUGCAUGGCUGUCGUCAGCUCGUGUCGUGAGAUGUUGGGUUAAGUCCGUAACGAGCGCAACCCUUGUCCUUAGUUACCAGCACGUUAUGGUGGGCACUCUAAGGAGACUGCCGGUGACAAACCGGAGGAAGGUGGGGAUGACGUCAAGUCAUCACGGCCCUUACGGCCUGGGCUACACACGUGCUACAAUGGUCGGUACAAAGGGUUGCCAAGCCGCGAGGUGGAGCUAAUCCCAUAAAACCGAUCGUAGUCCGGAUCGCAGUCUGCAACUCGACUGCGUGAAGUCGGAAUCGCUAGUAAUCGUGAAUCAGAAUGUCACGGUGAAUACGUUCCCGGGCCUU